AUUUUUUGAAGGACCACUGUCACUUACAAAAGAGGAAUUGGCAACUGUUGGACUUGAGGACAAAGCCAAAGGAAAACAUCCUGGGAGAAGGAGAGGUUUGUCCUCGUCUCCAUAUCUACAAAAAAGUAUCAAAGAUCUGGAACAAAAAAGCAUGAUUCAUCCCGGAGCUGGCAGUGACAAAGAAUUGAAUAAGCCUGUAAGAGAAAGGAGUUCUUUGGAGCAGUGUCUUGUGUCAAUUCCAUUACAAGUAUCAGAGGAUG